UUAUUUAUUUUGUGAGAUUGC
rnacentral:siRNA from 1 species